rnacentral:lncRNA from 1 species
CAGCAUCUACUGAACCUGAACCUCAGCUUCAGCCCAGCUUUGCACCCACAUUGUGUGAUGAAUCUGUUCUUCAUAACUCCAGCGAUGAACUCGACUCUGUUAACAAGACAUUUGAUGAGGAGAGUUCAGAGGUUCCCAGUGAUCAGUCUGCCCAGCAGCAUCAAUCUUGUCUGGACUCAAUGUUUAUGCUGCUGGAGGACAACAUUAUCACUUUUGUGAAAAAUGAGCUGAAGAAGAUCCAGAAGAUUUUGUGUCCAAAUAACUCAGAGAGUCAGAUGGAGGAAGAGACGCUGCUGGGGGGAGAGGGUGAAGACCAGAGGAACAGAGAGGCAUUGGUGAAGCUCGCCCUGCAUUUCCUAAGAACAAUGAAAAAGGACGAUU